GCAUGUGUAUAGACACAAUCGACAGGUAACUUUGCUGUCAGGAGAUGUAGUUUAUUUGACAUGUUGACAGUAAGAAGACUUUAAGCGCCAUUUGCAGAUGUGAAAUAUACAGAGACAGAGAGUGUGUGUUUGUAAGGAAGAGCAAAGCAGCACAACAAAGACGCUCAAGCAGAGCAGGGUGGAGACUGUGAGGUGCAAAACCGUUAAACAGACAAAAUGACAUGGCUCAGGUCAGAGGAAUUCAGAGGUGAUCCAGAUCCAGAUGAGAAAUUGCGUGCACUUCUAAAAAACUGCUACAAGCCUCACAGAGAUGAUGGGAAUGGGUGGGCUUCUGAGCUGAAAUAUUACUAACCAUUUCUAAUUAGCUGGGGUAAAACUUAGUAACUCAGGAAGGAUUGGAAUAACAACUUCUCUGACUGACUGGUCUUGCAUCAAUGGGGAUUUCGGCACAGUGCUGGACAAGUUGAUCUCUGUCAGUAUAAGAUGAUGAUGGUGAUCUGGAGCUCACUGCUUUCACUCAAAUAAAACUCCAGGAGAGGCUCAUUUACAUCUGCUCCACUUCACUACACUGACUGGCCUUCACAAGUCCAUCUCUCUCUCUCUCUCUCUCUCUCUCUCUAGUUUAAUUGCACUUUUUAUUUUUAAUUUUUUUUAAUUU